rnacentral:rRNA from 1 species
UACAGAGGGUGCAAGCGUUGUUCGGAAUUACUGGGCGUAAAGCGCGUGUAGGCGGCGUCGUUAGUCGGAUGUGAAAGCCCUCGGCUCAACCGAGGAAGUGCAUCCGAUACUGCGAUGCUUGAGUGUUGGAGGGGGUGGCGGAAUUCCCGGUGUAGAGGUGAAAUUCGUAGAUAUCGGGAGGAACACCUGUGGCGAAGGCGGCCACCUGGACAACAAUUGACGCUGAGACGCGAAAGCGUGGGUAGCAAACAGG